rnacentral:ncRNA from 1 species
AAUGAUUGGGGGCUUAGGACAACAGAACAUUGCCCAUGGCAGCCGGUACCCGCUAAGGAGUGUGUAACAACUCACCUGCCGAAUCAACUAGCCCUGAAAAUGGAUGGCGCUUGA